GCCAGAAGCUUGCUUCUGGUGGAUGAGUGGCGAACGGGUGAGUAACACGUGAGUAACCUGCCCCUGAUUUCGGGAUAAGCCCGGGAAACUGGGUCUAAUACCGGAUACGACCACCGAACGCAUGUUCGGUGGUGGAAAGUUUUUUCGAUCGGGGAUGGGCUCGCGGCCUAUCAGCUUGUUGGUGGGGUAAUGGCCCACCAAGGCGACGACGGGUAGCCGGCCUGAGAGGGCGACCGGCCACACUGGGACUGAGACACGGCCCAGACUCCUACGGGAGGCAGCAGUGGGGAAUAUUGCACAAUGGGGGAAACCCUGAUGCAGCGACGCAGCGUGCGGGAUGACGGCCUUCGGGUUGUAAACCGCUUUCAGCAGGGAAGAAGCGAAAGUGACGGUACCUGCAGAAGAAGUACCGGCUAACUACGUGCCAGCAGCCGCGGUAAUACGUAGGGUACGAGCGUUGUCCGGAAUUAUUGGGCGUAAAGAGCUCGUAGGUGGUUGGUCACGUCUGCUGUGGAAACGCAACGCUUAACGUUGCGCGUGCAGUGGGUACGGGCUGACUAGAGUGCAGUAGGGGAGUCUGGAAUUCCUGGUGUAGCGGUGAAAUGCGCAGAUAUCAGGAGGAACACCGGUGGCGAAGGCGGGACUCUGGGCUGUAACUGACACUGAGGAGCGAAAGCAUGGGGAGCGAACAGGAUUAGAUACCCUGGUAGUCCAUGCCGUAAACGUUGGGCACUAGGUGUGGGGGACAU
rnacentral:rRNA from 1 species